rnacentral:rRNA from 1 species
ACGAACGCUGGCGGCAUGCCUCACACAUGCCCGUCGAACGAGAUCUUCGGGUCUAGUGGCGCACGGGUGCGUAACGCGUGGGAAUCUGCCCUCAGGUUCGGAAUAACCAUUGGAAACGAUGGCUAAUACCGGAUGAUGACGUUAAGUCCAAAGAUUUAUCGCCUGAGGAUGAGCCCGCGUAGGAUUAGCUAGUUGGUGUGGUAAAGGCGCACCAAGGCGACGAUCCUUAGCUGGUCUGAGAGGAUGAUCAGCCACACUGGGACUGAGACACGGCCCAGACUCCUACGGGAGGCAGCAGUGGGGAAUAUUGGACAAUGGGCGAAAGCCUGAUCCAGCAAUGCCGCGUGAGUGAUGAAGGCCUUAGGGUUGUAAAGCUCUUUUACCCGGGAUGAUAAUGACAGUACCGGGAGAAUAAGCUCCGGCUAACUCCGUG